AUGCGGCGGCGGCGGCUCCUCCCGGCCUCCCGCCCGCCCUGGCGGCCCCCGGGGGCCUUGGGACCGAGCCCUGCGUGGGAAGCGCGCUGAGGAGGGGAAAGCGGACCGCGAGUCUCAGCCCUCGCAGACUGUCCUCAGUUGACCCGGCAGAGAGGAACUGGGCCCAAUCGGGAGGCAAACACAGGGCUUUCAGGACUCACCAGGAAAGGGAUACAGCGAGACUAAAGCACCCUUUCAAAUUGGGAAGGUGCUACUGAGCAUCUUAUCUGGCGCCUUACUAAAGAGCAGGUAUUAUGUGUGACUGUGAUGGGCUCUCGGUAUGCCAGAAUCCUGUUCUCACUGAGCUAUGGUCUUGUUCUGGCAAUAACAACAACAAUGGCAGCUAACGUGUAUGAACAUUUCUUAUGUAUGAAGCACCAUCCCCACCCCCAAAGAUUACUAGUAAGAACAAAUGAACAAGAACAAAGGCACGACAUCCUCUCCUUACCAAUGGGAUCCACC